AUGGAAGUAUGUUACCAGCUGCCGGUGCUGCCCCUGGACAGGCCGGUCCCCCAGCACGUCCUCAGCCGCCGAGGAGCCAUCAGCUUCAGCUCCAGCUCCGCGCUCUUCGGCUGCCCCAAUCCCCGGCAGCUCUCGCAGAGGCGUGGAGCUAUUUCCUAUGACAGUUCUGAUCAGACUGCGUUGUACAUUCGUAUGCUAGGAGAUGUACGCGUAAGGAGUCGAGCAGGAUUUGAAUCAGAAAGAAGAGGUUCUCAUCCGUAUAUUGAUUUUCGUAUUUUUCAUGCUCAAUCUGAAAUUGAAGUUUCUGUGUCUGCAAGGAAUAUCAGAAGGUUACUAAGUUUCCAGCGGUAUCUUAGAUCUUCACGCUUUUUUCGUGGUACUACUGUUUCAAAUUCUCUAAACAUUUUAGAUGAUGACUAUAAUGGACAAGCCAAGUGUAUGCUGGGAAAAGUUGGAAAUUGGAAUUUUGAUAUCUUUCUAUUUGAUAGACUAACAAAUGGAAAUAGUCUAGUAAGUUUAACCUUUCAUUUAUUUAGUCUUCAUGGAUUAAUUGAGUACUUCCAUCUAGAUAUGAUGAAACUCCGUAGAUUUUUAGUUAUGAUUCAGGAAGAUUACCACAGUCAGAACCCCUACCACAAUGCAGUCCAUGCUGCAGAUGUAACUCAGGCCAUGCACUGUUACUUAAAAGAACCUAAGCUUGCCAGUUCUGUGACUCCUUGGGAUGUCUUGCUGAGCUUAAUUGCAGCUGCCACUCAUGAUCUGGAUCAUCCAGGUGUUAAUCAACCUUUCCUUAUUAAAACUAACCAUUACUUGGCAACUUUAUACAAGAAUACCUCAGUACUGGAAAAUCACCACUGGAGAUCUGCAGUGGGAUUAUUGAGAGAAUCGGGUUUAUUCUCACACAUGCCCUUAGAGAGCAGGCAACAAAUGGAGACUGAGAUAGGUGCUUUGAUACUAGCCACAGACAUCAGUCGCCAAAAUGAGUAUCUGUCGUUGUUUAGGUCCCAUUUGGAUAGGGGCGACUUACGCCUAGAAGACCCCAGGCACAGGCAUUUGGUUUUACAGAUGGCUUUGAAAUGUGCUGAUAUUUGUAACCCAUGUCGGACCUGGGAAUUAAGCAAGCAGUGGAGUGAAAAAGUAACAGAGGAAUUCUUCCAUCAAGGAGAUAUAGAAAAAAAGUAUCAUUUGGGUGUCAGUCCACUUUGUGAUCGUCAGACUGAAUCUAUUGCCAACAUCCAGAUUGGUUUUAUGACUUACCUAGUGGAGCCUUUGUUCACAGAAUGGGCCAGGUUUUCCAACACAAGGCUGUCGCAGACAAUGCUCGGACAUGUGGGGCUGAAUAAAGCCAGCUGGAAGGGACUGCAGAGAGAGCAGUCCGGCAGUGAGGACACUGAGGCUGCGUUCGAGGGGUUGAACUCACAGUUAUUACCUCAGGAAAAUCGGUUGUCAUAACUCCCGGAAUCACUGGGACAGACUGUGCCUCCUGGAGGUUUUUAGAAAUGUGAAAUGGGGUCUUGAGGUGAGAGAACUUACUCUUGACUGCCAAGGUUUCCAAGUGAAUGAUGCCAGCAUUAUUUAUUUCCAAAUUUCGUCUGUUGGAUCAUUUGAACUCACUUUUUAAACAUAAGACCUGAACAUAUAGCAAUAUGCAUUUGGCUUUCGUGUGAAACCUUGAAUAUGCAAAGCCCAGCGGAAGCGAAUCUGAAAGGAGUAACACAAGAAGUUUUCGGUGUGCCACGUGUUUUUCAAAGCAUUUAUUCUUCGAACCAUGAAACUUGAACUGAACCUUUCAGCAGAAAUCUCUUGGAAUUUAACCAGUCUGAUGCAACAUUGUGUAUCUGUACCUUCCACUAAGUUCUCUCUGAGAAAAUGGAAAUGUGAAGUGCCCAGCCUCUGCUGCCUCUGGCAAGACUCGAUGUUUACAAAUCAACUCUGAAAUAUUGGUUCUCAAUUUGCCUUGGAGCAUGAUUGUGAAGGAACCACUAGGAAUUUUAAAGAUCAAACUUUAACUGCAGCUCUUUCCCCCUGGUUUGCCUUUUUUCUUCUUUGGAUGCCACCAAAGCCUCCCAUUUGCUAUAGUUUUAUUUUGUGCACUGGAAACUGAGCAUUUAUCAUAGAGUUCCGCCAAGCUUUCCCUCCAGUGCUGUUUGGCAAUGCAAUUUUUUUAACUAUUGGUUUUUAAUUUGGGGCGGGAGGGGAAGAACACCAAUGUCCUAGCUGUGUUAUGAUUCUGCAGUGAAGACAUUGCAUGUUGUUUUCACUACUGUACACUUGACCUGCACAUGCAAGAAAAAGGUGGAAUGUUUAAAACACCAUAAUCAGCUCAGGGUAUUUGCCAAUCUGAAAUAAAGUGGGAUGGGGAAGUGUGUCCUUCAGAGCAAGGGUACUAAAGUCCCUUUCGCUGCAGUGGGUGAGAGGCAAAUCUUCUUGGGAAGCCAAAUUAUGAUCAGCCGGUUACUUGGUGAGCAUGGAUUCUGAGCAAGGGAAGCAAGUUGCCUCAUGCAUCCAUCUCCCCAUGGGGAUAUACCUGCUGAUACUCAUGUUUGUGGACCAGGGUUCUCUCUUCCCCUGGACUCUGCCAGUAGUUUCUUCUCCACAUCAGCUGCUGAUUGGCACAUCCAGUAGAUAUGUCAGUACCUUCAGCCUUGUCUCAGCUGAGCCUGCCUGGGCUCCAUCUGCCUGUGUAUGAUCGCUUACUUCUGCUCUGAUCCAUUACAUGUUUCCUAUUGUUUGAGACGCAAAGGAUUAUCUUUUUAUUUACACAUUCUCAAGGGGAGACACUUGAGCGUUGCUCCCAUUUCCUACCUACACAUAUAAUAAACCCAUUGAAAAGUUGUGUUUUGUUAUGUAUAUGUGGGAAUGACCGUCUAUAGCCCUGCUUCUUAAAUAUGACCUAUAUUCCUUGAACAUUGAUUUUCUAGAAAAAUUUGAGCAAACAGUUCAGUAAUUUAGAAGAUCACAUUUAAAAUAAAUAAUUCAAUAUUAUGGAACAGAACACAAAAUUCCCAAGAAAUUUUAAGAUAAAGCAGGAGACUUCAAAGAAUUGUUGAGCAUGUGGCAGCCCUUGGGGGCUCUACGCCCAGCACUUCGGUAGCGGGGGACGUCUCUGCUCUGGGGGUUAAGGUCCUUGGAGAGAACAUUUUGGCAAGCCUUCGCUUAACCACAAAUAAUCUGGUUCCUCAUCAAUAUUUGUACUCUGUAAAUGUUAUGGUUUAUAAUGAUCUUCUUUGUAUAAAAGAAGUAAAUAUUUUAUGUCCUUUGCAAAGCUGGGAAAAUAUAUUUGUACCCAAGGUACAGGUUAGAGGUGCUAGUAAUUCUUUGAAGAUUCCUAUAAUGGUCUCUUUUUCCAAAAUGCUUUCUUGGCUCUUAAAGCUUUCAAUUUUCUUAAAACUUUAAAACUUUCACAUCGCAGGUUUACAAUGUUUUCAUGUAUACUUUUUUUAAUGUAUAAAUAUUUUCUUUAAAUCCCCUCCCAAUCAGGAGGGCAUUCCCCUCUUGCUUGGGAAAAAGUCUGCAAUGACCUAUAGCUAAUAUGCAUUUGGUAAUGUUUUUAAAUAAAUGUGCAUAUUAAUCACCAUAGCAUCAGCAUACAUUUGAAACGUAUAGUUGUACAGACAGAUAUGUGUAAGACUUAGUCUGAGCCAUUCCUUGCUUGCUAAGGAUCUGGAGACAGCCUGUGUCAUUUGGAAGGUCCCUGAGGCUCCACGGUCUGCAGGUGGAAGGCCGACUACUGGGGGUGAGCUGAUGGGCAUGGCACACCACAGUUUCCUCCAUCUUGUCUCCUCUGCUCAGCAUAAAGCUAGCGUAAAUUGGGCCAUCAAUAAAUGUUUGUCAAACAAACUAAUUUGGUAUGAAUGUGUUUCCUUUUUAGUUAUCAGUUUAUCAUUAAGAGAAAUUAUAUUGAAACUAGUCUGUCUAUGGUGAAGUCACGUGGUAAGCAAUAUCUGAGUUCCUGUUGUGUGCAGAGCACAGCACUGGCUGUAAU